GGAAUGUGCUGAGAGUCUGCCUGACCAGGGAGUGACGGUCAGCAGAGGAACGUCACGGUGGAGCUCCCCGUUGGAGGAGAGGGACUCGGGCAGACCGCAUGCUGCGUGAGCUCGAAGGAGCUCCCAGUCAGAGGGCAGAUGGAGGACACGGGGUGGAACACUGCCGAGAGACGACCAGAGUGACGAGGGCUUCUGGGUGAACCAGCAUGCGAGGACUCUAGCUGAAGCAGCCCGAGUGAUCAGACACAAAGAUGAUAUUGGAUGGGUUUCCGAGAUGAAUAAUUUCAUCAUUGGUGACACGGAAAAAUGAAGUGAAUGGGGCUAUCUGGAAUAAACAAUCCAAGAAACGUUUAUUUUUGCAUUGACAUAAUUUUUAUAUUUUUAAAUUAAGAAGAUGAAAAACUUCAAAUGUACAGUACUGUGUCUCCUUCCAGUCCUACCAAUUCUUCACGCUUAUCCGAUGUGUCCCUGCCUUCAUAAUGAUUCCUCCUUUCCUGGACUUCUGAAGCGGAGGGGAUUCUCCUGGGUUUUGAUGAUGGCGCCUGCAUAACUUUGACGGCAUGGAGGCAUGAGUGGCCCCCAAGGACACAUCUCUGCCCCUCCGCGUGGUCUCCUUGAUGCUUCAUUUCCGCUGGACCUGGGUGGGACCGGUCAUCACAAAAGGUCGGGAAAGUCUGCAGUUUCUCGCAGAUGUGAGAGCAGAGACGGACAGGAAGAGUCUGUGUAGCCUUUGUGAAAAGGCUCUCAAAUGACGCUGUAUCGUGUCUUACAUUCAUAGCGACAUGAUUUCCUGACCAAUAAAAAAAUUACCGGUAAGUGUGGUUGCCGUGCACUAUGAUACUGAGAGUCCAAAUGAUGUAAGUCAUGGUGUAGGACAAUAUUUGGAGACAUGGAAAGUCUGGGAGGCAGAUUCACACCGGCGUGCAAACAUGGCUGGAAGAAAUGUCAUACUUGAUUCACUACAGGGGUCUCACUUUUUCAAACCACCAUGAGCUGAUUACUGGUUUCAAAGAUUUUACCCAGGAAGCUCUAGUCCUUCCAAAUACCCAGAAGACACUCCACUUGCUACAUAUUGGUCUGGAAAUUUUCAUUGCUCAUUUUGUAAUUCUGACCACGCAUUGAACGACUGUACGCCUAUGGCCUCUCUGACGUGGCUGCCUGUGACUCGUUUUGAAGCUGCCUGAGUGACGGGAGUUAUACACAUGCGACACUCUGUGUACUGCUGCCCACGACCUCCACAGGAUACUCCUAUAACAGGCGCAAACGCUACCAGAGGGAAAUGGGGGAGGGCUGGUAUUUCCACCGUCUCUUCCAUUUGAAGUUAUGCACUGCCGUCUAAGUCUUUCUCAGGGGUUCCAUAGGUAUUUGAACCACAGAGUUUAGUAUCCUUUCUCCAAAAGUGUGAGAUUCUGUACCAGUGUCAUUGUUGAAGAGAUUAAUAUUGACUCAAGGUCUUCAAGCCUCUGGUAAGGAGAACAUAAAAUGAGCCAUGGUCUUUGUUUUGAUUGUAAAUGAUGUCAACGGCCUUUCUAACCUAAUAUCUCAAAUAAGGAGAACCUAGACUUUUCUCAUAAAGUUCUUCAAAGAUGUGACAGUUGACUGACUAUGUCAACCGGAGUAAGAGAAACUUACUCAGCUCAGCUAACCCAUACCCGAGGGUGUGGAGAUCCAGCCUAGUGUGGCUUGUACCUGGAUGGUGUAAAGGGGACAUGGAGAAGGAUGGAGCUGCUUCGUUUCUUCAGAGGAGCUCCCGUCUUCCCCUUCACCUUGGACAUCAUCUCCUGGCUUCCAGCCCAGACUCUUCAGCUUCUGAUCAGAUCCCCUAGCGUUCUGGCAUAAGGUCUGCUCCUUCCAUUGCAGACCCACUGACAUGGACUCACAAGGGACACUGCGCUAAGCUCCGGACCUUCGACUGAAUCCUUCGCUCUCCAGUGCAUGGACAUCCUCUGCACUCUUCCUCACCCAACUCUGUUUGUGGCCAGUGGGGGAAAAACAAAUCCUGCUGGACACCAAGUGAAUUUGGAUGAAAAAAGGAAACUGGAUGCAGAAUAUGCCAUUUUCAAUGUUUGGAAUUUUCCAGGAGCCCAAAGAUUUCAAGCUGGAGCAUUUUCUUUGCAUGCGCCUGAUCAUCAAGAGUUAUCUUUAUUUGAGGAUAUGAGACAGGGGUAUUGCAGAGGUAUGUUGUAUACAAUCAUAAUGCUUAUCAGUGACCAUGAAUAAUCACAACCUUUUUGUAGGAUUUCUGCCCCUAGUUUUGCUCAGGAAAUGGCCACAAAUGAAAAUUUAAUAACAUACCUUCCAAUGUAAUUCUUCCACUGAAUAAUAUUCUGAUGAAUGGGAAAGGAACUCAUUUACUUAACCGUAUUUUUAUAAACGUUCUCCGAUAUUCCGUCAUGCUUUAAA